UGAGUGCAUCAGUGGGAGAAAAUAGACGUAUUAGAUUAGAGCAAUCAGAGAUUCAGAGUUUUUGAAAAAAAAAUACGUAAUACAAAAAAUCUAUAAAUUAAUAUUGAAUAAAUUAAUAAACAUGAUAAAUUAAUAUAUAUAUUUAAUUUUGAAUUAACUAAUCCAAAAUAUGACAUAAAUUGGUAAAAUAAUAAAAUAAUAUUUUUAAACAAAAUCCUAUGUCAAUAUAUGGUCCUACUAAAAUUACAAAUGAACAGAUUUUAUAUAUAAUUUUAUAUAAAUAUAAAAAAAUUGUAUUAUUUUAAUUUUCAUA
rnacentral:lncRNA from 1 species